rnacentral:other from 1 species
UCAUCUCUGGAAUGUUUGCCAAUAGGUCUAUUCCCCUGAGCCGAUAUCAUCACUUACGGAUGCGAUCUGUAUGGUUUGGGUGUAUGUCUGCCUUGUGUAGAAAACCGAAAAAUUAUACGUUUCAUCCACCUUGAACUUUAGGGUUCAAGGGUAAUGAUCUAUAGCGGCAUUCUGGAGUUCUU